AAUGAAGUGUCUGAUUAUAGAGUUAUUUUGAUAGAGUAAAAAAAGUGAAAGCUUCACCUUCAUUAC
rnacentral:tRNA from 1 species